ensembl:lncRNA
CCUCUGCAAACAUCCUCAAAACUUGCCUCAGCUUCACUGGGAGCCAGGUGCAGCCAUCCUACAAUCAGAUGUAAACAGUCUCUCCUCUCUUUGUGCAGGGCAGCUCUUUGUGCAAAACAGGAAGAAAACAACACGGAGAUGGAUCAACCAAAUUGCACGAAAUGGACAUAGAGUGCUGAGGAUAUUAAGUGUCACGGAUACUGGAAAAUCUGAUCAGCAGCACCAACAUCAUGUGCGAGCUUCUGAGAAAUGCAGCUUGUUGGGCCCUUCCUCGAAUCUACUGAAUCAGAAUGGGUGUUUUACAAAGAUCCUCACCUCAUUCAGAUGCACACUGAAGUUUGACCAUUGUUAUGUUACCUUAUUCAGACUUCACAACAUCCCGAUGGGGCUCUCAGCUCUGGGCCUCAGGCCUCAAGUCCACAGCAGAUGCCUGAUGCGAUCCCUCGCAGUACGUGCGCACUUACGUGUAAAGCGUCUUAGUGAAGAAAGGUGGCCCAGACUGUAUUCACUUGCAUUUCCUUCCUCAUCACAUCAGUGCACCACACACAUUUUGAGAAGGAAAUCAAUAAAAAAUGUUUUCCCAU